UCCAGGGUGGCCGAAGUAAGGUGAAAGACUGUAAAUCUUUUUAUGAAAUUUUUCCCUUGGGA
rnacentral:tRNA from 1 species